AGGGCUAACUAAGCAGGUUUUCUUCUCCUGCACUGAGCUCCUGACUGUACACAGAAUCACAUGAGGCAGGAAAGGAAGAACAAGAUGCCCAACAAGGACGGAAUUGCACUCAAGGAUAAUUGCAAAGGAUCAGUAAAGAAGAAGCUGGAGUUAUGGUCAAAUUGGGAGACAAUGGAGGAGGGAAGCCCUAUGGAAUGGUGGCAGUGCAUCAAAGACACCCAAUAAAUGUGAAUUGAUUGAAAGGAUCCUGGCGCACAGGAGAGGUUAUAUGAGGGCUAUGGUCAUCCAAGGCUCAGCUGGAUCUUGCUGGGCUCUGCUAAGCUGUGUAUAGCUUCUCAGGCCAGAUCAAAGAGAUACAGGAAAGGUG
rnacentral:lncRNA from 1 species